UGUGCCCUCAAGACCGCCUUACAAAACCAAUUAUCACGUGAUUGCAAUAACACAUUUCUGUGAAGGUCUCUGCUUGGAUGUUACUUCCUCUUGCAUCAAUACCUCAAGACUUCAAAUACCUGACAUGGUUAUUACAACAUAGGAGAUACUUAGCAAAUUAUUUGCUGAACAAAUGAAUGACUGAAUAUAUGAUUGUUAUUUUAAAAGGAUACUUUGUGUAUAAAGCUGCUUUGAUGAUGUAGAUAUAAAUUACGUUUGAAUGUGCAAAACUGAAAUUCUAUCUAUUAGAUGGUUAUAAAAUUUGCUAUUAUUUUAGCCAUUAUUUUCUUCCAGAAACAUGUUGCAUUGUGGUAAACAUAUUUAUAUACAGUACUAAUUAACAAUCAAAUACGUGACACUUCCUUUGCAUUGCUCCUUUUUCGACGAGGCUUUUUAUUGAGAAUGAAGUUGUCUAAAUUCAAAAAGCUUACCUUACAUAUCAUGACUUAAGAUCAUCUGACUGUGAACUUAAAAGCAAUAUAAUUUGAAACAUUAGCUCAACUAUUGCUUUAGACUUUAUUCAUCUAACCCUGCAGUCAUGGAUGUCAUUAAUUCAAUGAGUAGAAAUCUAUUGUACAACAAAAUUUACAGAGAAUAAAUGGGUUAUUCAUUCAAUUUGUCAAAAAUACUAUCUCUUGGCUGGGUGCCAUGACUCACACCUUUAAUACCAGCACUUCAGGAGGCUGAAAUGGGAGAUCACUUGAGGCCAAGAGUUUGAGACUAGCCUGGGCAGCAUAGGAAGACCCUCACUUCCACCAAAAAAAUAAUAGCCAGGCAUGGUGGUGCAUACCUAUAGUCCUAGCUGCUUGGGAGGUGGAGGCAGGGGCAUCACUUGAGCCUAGGAGUUCAAGGCUGCCGUGAGCUAUGACCCCUUCACUCCAGCCUGGGCAACAGUGGGAGACCCCAUCUCUUUAAAAAAUACCUUCUCUUCAUACUUAGAAUGGAAUACAAAAAAGAGAAAUAGUAAAACCAAAUGGAAUAUUGUUCUUUCCUUUCUUAAGCCUUUUAUUUCUCUAUCUUAGAAUGUAUAAAGUUCUCAUGCUGAAGUCUCAGAAGUACAAAAGUCUUAAUCUUGCAAUCACAUUACAUGAUAUUUAAAUGGUGACGUUCCUCUGCAUUGAGUCAUAGACAUUAUUCCUUCUCAUUUUCCUUACACACUGUUGAUACUUCUCAAAUUUCUAUUAUUUUUUUAAUUUUUUAAUUUUUUAUUAUUAUUAUACUUUAAGUUUUAGGGCACAUGUGCACAAUGUGCAGGUUAGUUACAUAUGUAUACAUGUGCCAUGCUGGUGUGCUGCACCCAUUAACUCCUCAUUUAGCAUUAGGUAUAUCUCCUAAUGCUAUCCCUCCCCCCUCCCCC
rnacentral:lncRNA from 1 species